AGAAACUAUGAAGAUUGGUAAGAAAGAACCAAAAGCCUUCAUUAAAUUUAAUAUUUAUUAGUAAAACAAGGGCAAAAGUCUUCCUGCAUUCAAAACUUCUAAUUUCCAAAGCAUUGCUAGGAUUCUUCUCAACAAAAGAAAAGUAAAGCAGUUUUCUGACUCAUUGUAGGGCAAAUCAAACCAGAAAAAGGAACAUUUGAAAAAGCUCUGAUCCGAAGUGCUGUUUCUUCUAUCCUGACUGCCAACCUCAUGAUCCCUUCGCUGCACAAUUCACUCUUGAGGUGCCAGUGGGAACCCCUCCCUCUUGCCCAGCCCCUGGGUGUUUUCCCAACUAGCUGCACCCCCUCUCCUCUUGAAAGCCACUGCUCCCCGGAGGACAAGAACCAGGGUGAAGCUUGGAAACCCAAUUCCAUUCUCUGACUCCCUGACCCAAGAGCCAGCUGAGCAGAUUUCUUCUGAGCUUGGCAUAAGCUGGCUCUGUCCCACACAGCAAGUCACACGCAAGCAGGUUUUCUGAGAGCCCAGCCCACAUGAAACACUCUCUGCACGUCCAUGAGCCCUGCAGAGGGCCAGCACAUGGCUUUGAGACCUACGGUCACAUGAUGAACACAGUCUACCAUCAAGGACAGACCCAGGAGCAACUUCCUACUCUCUGGGAGGGACACAGGAGAGCCAAAAGAGUCCCUCGCAGGCAGGAAUCCCGGCAGACACCUCUCUGGCCUGAGUCUAAAGACAACGCAGACCUAUCAGAGGGUUGGAUAAGAAAUAAGAG